rnacentral:sRNA from 1 species
UUUUACUUGCUGCCAAAUAAUGAGCACUUCUCUUCUGUUAUGGACGAGAUAAAAUAUUUUGUCAGCCCUGACUGUUGAUAGGCUUAACUUUUGCUAUAAUACACUAGUGGACGUUAGAAGAUUGUGUAGAAAAUAGGUACUUGUAUGCUACUAAAUGUGUGGUGAGAUGGGUGUAAUCAGCAUAUAGCUGUGAUGAUUUUCCGAAGCACAUAAACAGGAAUUGGGUGCUGCGGAUAGGUGAAAGGCUUUUAGGAGAAGGGGAGCUCUGGCCAUGUUUAUGGGAACCCCUAAAGUUGUGAUUACCCACUCUGACUUCCAG